rnacentral:rRNA from 1 species
AGUGAACGCUGGCGGUAGGCCUAACACAUGCAAGUCGAACGGCAGCACAGUAAGAGCUUGCUCUUACGGGUGGCGAGUGGCGGACGGGUGAGGAAUACAUCGGAAUCUACUUUUUCGUGGGGGAUAACGUAGGGAAACUUACGCUAAUACCGCAUACGACCUACGGGUGAAAGCAAGGGAUCUUCGGACCUUGCGCGAUUGAAUGAGCCGAUGUCGGAUUAGCUAGUUGGCGGGGUAAAGGCCCACCAAGGCGACGAUCCGUAGCUGGUCUGAGAGGAUGAUCAGCCACACUGGAACUGAGACACGGUCCAGGCUCCUACGGGAGGCAGCAGUGGGGAAUAUUGGACAAUGGGCGCAAGCCUGAUCCAGCCAUACCGCGUGGGUGAAGAAGGCCUUCGGGUUGUAAAGCCCUUUUGUUGGGAAAGAAAAGCAGCAGGUUAAUACCCCGCUGUUCUGACGGUACCCAAAGAAUAAGCACCGGCUAACUUCGUG